rnacentral:misc_RNA from 1 species
GAAAAUUUGGAAGACCUGAGAAUUGUAGGGUAAUACACCCAGGAGCAAUACCUAGUAUUUUGACCAUAACUGAUUAUUUAGACCUCCAAAUUAAGUGAUUCAAAAUGAUAAUUAAAAUUAAGACAUAGAGAAAUAAUUUUCAUGAAGAUCACUUUGAUAAAUUAUGACUAAAACUAAGUUGAAAUUGAGUUUUAAAGUCAGGUGCAAA